AGAGUUGGUUGGACAGUCGCUGCUGCGUGAUGUUCCAUCACGGGGUGGAGGAAAGUCCGGGCUCCAUAGGGCAGAGUGCCAGGUAACGCCUGGGAGGCGCGAGCCUACGGAAAGUGCCACAGAAAAUAACCGCCUAAGCGCAACAGCGCCGGUAAGGGUGAAAAGGUGCGGUAAGAGCGCACCGCACGGCUGGCAACAGUUCGUGGCUAGGUAAACCCCACUCGGAGCAAGACCAAAUAGGAAUCCAUUGGCGCGGCCCGCGUUGGAUUCGGGUAGGUCGCUUGAGGCAUUCAGUGAUGAAUGUCCCAGAGGAAUGGCUGUCCUCGACAGAACCCGGCUUACAGACCGACUCUCUCC
rfam:Pseudomonas denitrificans ATCC 13867, complete genome.